CUGUCAAGACUCCGCACUUUUUUAUAUCGUCAGGACUGAUCUGGCAAUUUUCCAUCUCGAGCGUCUGAAGUGUACACCCCAGCUCGUGGUCUAUGCAGGACGUCCGGAACUCGUCUAUCGGGAAUGUGACAAAACGCCUUGCGCACUCCUUGUACGCGCGUGUCGGUGAGGCUGGAGUGCACCCUGUUUUCGACGCCCAGCGCCCUGCUCCGUAUGCUGGUACGAGCCUUUGACGCUUGUCCUCCUUGAGGGUGCUCAGCGCAUGAAAAAAGUUCCCAAAUGCACGCCAUUCCGCACAGUACAAGUUCAUACGCGGACGAUGGCAUGGACCUUGGCUUUUGCACGCUCUCUCCGCCACUGCUUCCAUUGCCGCUCUCUUAGCCCCGAGUGAACAUGUGCCGGUCUCUCUUGUCCUUGCAGUUCCCGAGUCAGCAGUCGAGGGAUGUCGAUGGCAGCGUUCAAGUUCCGAUUUCGCCACUUCCCGCCCUUGGUAACGCGUCCCGCGCGUAGGGCCAAGUUGCGGUCCGCACGUCGUUCCCCACGUUCAUCUUCUGUGCACAUACAGCUUCGGUGUGUCUUUCGCUGCGCUGACACCGGACUAUGAUCAGACGUUCGCAUAUUCGUCUGCCGCAUCUCUCACGCGACCGAGCGCCGCCCUGUGGCAUGCGAAGGCUUGCUUCAGCGCUCGAUGCAUGUCCGGGACUGGCGUAGAAGGCGCUCGUCGAAUCCAUUCUUUGUCUGCAUACCGGAUGCCGUGACGAACGAUGACGGGCUGCUUCCGGGCGAUUCCCUUUGCGAGUGCGCUGUAUGGUGCAAAAGCAAGCAUACGCUGUCCCGUUUGAGAAGGGAUUCGUGGAAUGCGAUAUUGGCCGUGGUGAAGCAGGCACCGGAACGAUAACACUCAUAGGAGAACCAGUCAAGUGAUUUCGAUCCGUCCACGCUGUUCUACAGCGAAGCGGCGAUCCAGUCUGCACCAGAGGCGAUCGCUGCGACGACUAUAGUCAGGGACUUCAUUCCAUGCAACCAGAAGAGGCGAGUGCAUCUGGGCGCGAAUCCCCGUGUAACGUACGAUGCAGCUGUCGAAUUCCCUGUCUCGCGGAUGACCACAGGGACACAAGGAUUUGUCUUUCGAAAGGAUUCGAUCAUUUGAUACGAGAAGCACGAUGAGGCUUGGGCGUGAGCGUGUGAACACGUCGUCAAGGAGCGACGUCGGGCUCCGUGCCGCGCCAGUCCAGUGGCGAGCAUUGCUGUGCCCACGGGUUGCCUUGAAACAGAAAGAUCGAAAACAUGAAGCAUGCAUGAUUUGCGCAUGCUGUACACAAGGAAUGCGAUAGCGGUAGAGGCUUGUGCCUACAAAUUGGUUCAUAAAAUCGGCUAUUU